CCCAGAGGGUGGAGGAAGGUGACCCCUUGGUCUUCUUCUGUUCAAUGGAAGGAGGCACCACAGAGAAGAAGUUCCACUUCUACAAGGAUGGGGUGGAGAUCACCUCCAGUGAAGAAGAUCUUCUUGAACCCUCCACUGAACCCAAAAACCCUCUUCAAAAUGCCUCUCUGAGAAUCCCUCAUGCCUCGAUCAACCACAGUGGGGAAUUUUUUUGCAGUUAUGAAGAGAAGAGAAGGAACCAAUGGAUCAUGUCUCCUUUGAGCCAGGGGAAGAACAUCACAGUUGAGCCAGUUUCAACCCAAGAUUCAGGUCCUAUAUGGAGAUAUUCCCGGGUGGCCAUUACUAUUAUAAUCCUGCUGGUUCCAUUUGCCUUCUAUUGCUGGACAAAGAAAAGCAAAUCUCCAUCCAAGAAACAAUCUCAGCUUGCAGAAAAGAAAGAGGAAGGAGGUGACC